AUUGAACGCUGGCGGCAGGCCUAACACAUGCAAGUCGAGCGGAUGAAGGGAGCUUGCUCCUGGAUUCAGCGGCGGACGGGUGAGUAAUGCCUAGGAAUCUGCCUGGUAGUGGGGGAUAACGUCCGGAAACGGGCGCUAAUACCGCAUACGUCCUGAGGGAGAAAGUGGGGGAUCUUCGGACCUCACGCUAUCAGAUGAGCCUAGGUCGGAUUAGCUAGUUGGUGGGGUAAAGGCCUACCAAGGCGACGAUCCGUAACUGGUCUGAGAGGAUGAUCAGUCACACUGGAACGGAGACACGGUCCAGACUCCUACGGGAGGCAGCAGUGGGGAAUAUUGGACAAUGGGCGAAAGCCUGAUCCAGCCAUGCCGCGUGUGUGAAGAAGGGCUUCGGAUUGUAAAGCACUUUAAGUUGGGAGGAAGGGCAGUAAGUUAAUACCUUGCUGUUUUGACGUUACCAACAGAAUAAGCACCGGCUAACUUCGUG
rnacentral:rRNA from 1 species